rnacentral:rRNA from 1 species
GACGAACGCUGGCGGCGUGCUUAACACAUGCAAGUCGAACGGUAAGGCCCCAGCUUGCUGGGGUACACGAGUGGCGAACGGGUGAGUAACACGUGGGUGACCUGCCCCGCACUUCGGGAUAAGCCUGGGAAACUGGGUCUAAUACCGGAUAGGACCGCACCGUGAGGGUGUGGUGGAAAGUUUUUCGGUGUGGGAUGGGCCCGCGGCCUAUCAGCUUGUUGGUGGGGUAAUGGCCUACCAAGGCGGCGACGGGUAGCCGGCCUGAGAGGGUGGACGGCCACAUGGGGACUGAGACACGGCCCAGACUCCUACGGGAGGCAGCAGUGGGGAAUAUUGCACAAUGGGCGGAAGCCUGAUGCAGCGACGCCGCGUGGGGGAUGACGGCCUUCGGGUUGUAAACUCCUUUCACCAUCGACGAAGGUUUUCUGACGGUAGAUGGAGAAGAAGCACCGGCUAACUACGUG